CGUAUGCAUUUCUCCAUUUCUGCAGUUCUGCAAAGGUUUGCAGUUUUAAAGCGUGUUCUUCUCCCUCAUUUGUCUGAAAACUCCUUGAGGGCAUGGGAUGAAUCUAUUCAUCUUUGAUCUUUUAAAUUUAGCAUAGUGUCUGGGACAUAAUCCAUGCUAAAUAUGCAAAGAUUGUGGUUAGGGUCCAGGUUAGAGCCUCAGGCGAACUGUCAUUUUCUUUUGUUUUCAACGGAUAGUGGGACAAGGACAAUAGGAGGAUGGGUCUUUCUAACCAAAAUUCAGAAGCCUGAAUUCUUCCACAAUGGUAUGUCUAUUAAGAAAAACAUAGGAGAAUGGUUUCCUUAAAAUGUUAUUUUUUCCUAUUAUGAGCAUUUGUGAUUUAAUUCAUAGUAUCUCUGAAAUGGAGUUUAAGAAAAACAUAUAUAUCGAACUAUGUGAAAAUUACUGAGUACAAUAUUUUAUUUUUAGUGGUGUUACGGUCAUCUCUUUGGCUUCUUCUUGGAAAGUUCUAUACCAUUAUUCACUUUUUCUGUAUCUACAUGGGGAUGCUCUUCCUUUCUCAGUCAGUGCUUUUCCUAAACAGGCCUGCAGUGCUGUAGUCAGCUCAUUCAUUCUUGUUUUCCAAUAAGGUGAAGCAUGCGUUAAUACUCAUGGAAGACCCAGACAUUAUGUCUCUGUAAUGUCAUAGAAAAGGCUGACCGUUCUCCUAGGGGGUUCUUUUCCACAGUAACUGUGGAGUUGAAGUGGAGGAGAAGCUUGCUGGUGUCUUCAGGUCAUCAGGUUACAGCAACACCUUCAUAAAUCAAGCAGGGCUCUUCCUUUGGUGAGCCAGUG
rnacentral:lncRNA from 1 species